rnacentral:misc_RNA from 1 species
AUAAACAAAGACAAUUUUACUUGUUAGAAACUUUGAUAAAUAAAUAUACGAAUUACAAAAUAUGGAAAAAGAAACCACGGAAGAUAGCACUAAAGGUUUGAAAAUAACUUAAAGAUAUGAUGAAAGGGAAAUUAACAUUAGAAAUAGUUGUUUCCCAUGAAAUUGACCGAUAAUAUAUUGGCGUGAUAAAUGUAAAUUAUAGAUUCGACAAAAGAUAAUGAUUGUUGAAGUUGUUAUUUUUAAAAUUGCAACUUUUCUUAAUGUAUAUAUUUUCAAUAUAAACUAUAAUUUAUUAGUUAAACAUAAUUCUGGGGAGAGUCGACGGAGACAGAAGUAUAAAAGUCAUAAAUACAAGGAUGACGACAUUCCGAAAACUCCUCUGAUGAUGUCUUUUACUUCCUAUCGUACUGAUCUGGAUGCAAAGCAUGAUAAAAGUGAACGUUUGGUAAAACUCAGUCGAGAUAUAACGAUUGAGAGUAAACGCGUAAUAUUUUUGCUCCACCGUACAACAAAGUGAGCAAUUAUGCGUAUGUAAUGCUAUUCAAUUAUGAUGUUUAAUCAUAUUUUUAGAGAGGACAAAUCUAAUUUGAUUUUAGAAGCUGACAAGAAACUUCACUCAUUAGAGCAAAGUCAUUGGAAAAAUGUUGCUUUAGAACUGCAUGGUGAGGAUAUAUAUCUUUUCUUAAGAAGCUACACUCAAGGUUUGCAAGAAUAUGUUGAAGCAGUUUCUUUUUUAUAUUACUUAAAGCACAAGGAUUUAGUUCCACUCUCCAUUGUUAAAGAUAGUUUAACAUUCCACAAUGUAGACAGUGGUGCUGUUACCACUAAAACGAUCUCUGUCGAAGUUCCAAUCAUUGAUUUUGCAUUGGGACUAACAGACUUAGGUGGAGAAUUAAUGAGACUAGCUAUAAAUAGUAUUGGAGUAGGAGAUUUUACUACACCUAAGGAAAUUUGUUCGUUUCUUCGAGCUUUCUACGAUGGCCUUAUGAACUUUCGUGCUACAAACUGGCAGAUGAACAAAAAAUUGCAAGUCCUCAGAAACAGUCUAUCGAAAGUAGAAAAUGCGUGUUACACACUAAAGAUUAGAGGGUCUGAAGCUCCGAAAGAACUUUUAAGGGAUUUAGUAUCGAGUGUUUCUACAACAACGUGCAACACAGACGAGUAUGACAAUUAAGACCGUUCCCAUAAAUAGACUUUCAGCUUCUUUCUUAUAUAUAAUAAUGUUAAACAUUGAUGUUGUUUAUUUCUGCAAAUAUCAAACUCUGACUAGCAUUUUGCUGUAUGUCCGAUAAAUGGACGAAUAAAAGAAAGUUUCUUUAUAUUCUUAUACUGUA